AGCCAUUCCGCGUGAGUGAAGAAGGCCUUCGGGUUGUAAAGCUCUUUUGUCCGGAACGAAACGGUGAGCGUGAAUAUCGCUCGCUACUGACGGUACCGGAAGAAUAAGCACCGGUCUAACUACGUGCCAGCAGCCGCGGUAAUACGUAGGGUGCGAGCGUUAAUCGGAAUUACUGGGCGUAAAGCGUGCGCAGGCGGUUUUGUAAGCCAGAUGUGAAAUCCCCGGGCUUAACCUGGGAAUGGCAUUUGGGACUGCAAGGCUGGAGUUUGGCAGAGGAGACUGGAAUUCCCGGUGUAGCAGUGAAAUGCGUAGAUAUCGGGAGGAAUACCGAUGGCGAAGGCAGGUCUCUGGGCUAUAACUGACGCUCAUGCACGAAAGCGUGGGGAGCAAACAGGAUUAGAUACCCUGGUAGUCCACGCCCUAAACGAUGUCGACUGGUUGUUGGGGGUUUGACACUCUCAGUAACGAAGCUAACGCGUGAAGCCGACCGCCUGGGGAGUACGGCCGCAAGGUUA
rnacentral:rRNA from 1 species